rnacentral:rRNA from 1 species
CCUACGGGAGGCUGCAGUGAGGAAUAUUGGUCAAUGGACGAGAGUCUGAACCAGCCAAGUAGCGUGAAGGAUGACUGCCCUAUGGGUUGUAAACUUCUUUUAUAUGGGAAUAAAAUGUUCCACGUGUGGGAUUUUGUAUGUACCAUAUGAAUAAGGAUCGGCUAACUCCGUGCCAGCAGCCGCGGUAAUACGGAGGAUCCGAGCGUUAUCCGGAUUUAUUGGGUUUAAAGGGAGCGUAGGUGGAUUGUUAAGUCAGUUGUGAAAGUUUGCGGCUCAACCGUAAAAUUGCAGUUGAAACUGGCAGUCGUGAGUACAGUAGAGGUGGGCGGAAUUCGUGGUGUAGCGGUGAAAUGCUUAGAUAUCACGAAGAAUUCCGAUUGCGAAGGCAGCUCACUGGACUGCAACUGACACUGAGGCUCGAAAGUGUGGGUAUCAAACAGGAUUAGAUACCCCUGUAGUC